rnacentral:lncRNA from 10 species
CCUGGAUACAGUUUUGUAUGAAUUGAAAAACUAAAUGGAAUAACAAAAGGAGAAAAACAGGUAUAAAAUGUCUAAGAAUUGGGACGACUCAGGAUAUCUGAUUAGAGAGUGCUUAAGCAGAUUCAGCAUAGUCCUGCCAGCAAAGAUUAUUUAUUUACUUCAAGAGUUAAGAGCGGCAGUCUGGGGAUAGCACCAGGAGAUAUCAGCUGUGAUGUUUUGGAAAAACAGUGUAAACCGGCAGUGUAAACAAGAGCAGGCAGCAAUGAGAUAUAGCUGUAGUCCAGGAAUAGUCAGGAAAGCAGAUGAUUUAGUUAAAGUGUCUCAGCCUAAUAAGGGAACUGGGCAGGUGGGGAUAACUAAAAAGGAGUGCUUAAAAGAGUAUUGUCUAAGUUGGCACCAGAGUUGGGGAGUUUUAAGAGGUUUAGAAGGCUGGCCGUCAAUACCCACAACAGUUAUAGAGGCAAGGGAAACAGGCCCUUGAAAAGAAGGUAAUGUGGAGUGGGUAGCCUCCGUAUUGAUUAAGAAGGGGACGGGCUUACCUUCCACUGUGAGAGUUACCGGAAACUCGGAGUCUGUGAUGGUCUAGGGGGCUUCCGAGGUGAUCGGGCAGUGUCAGUCUUCAGCCGCUAAGCCGAGAAGAUCUGGGAAGGAGUCAGUCAGAGAGCCCUGGGCCAGAGUUCCAGGAGCUCUGGGAGUGGCUGUCAGGUGAGUUGAACAGUCCGAUUUUCACUGGGGUCCCACACAGAUGGGACGCGGCUUAGGAGGAAUCCCGGGCUGUGGGCAUUCCUUGGCCCAGUGGCCAGAUUUCCGGCACGUGUAGCAAGCUCCUGAGGGAGGAGGUUCUGGAGGAAGGCCUGGCUGCUGCGGUUCAGGCGUUUGGAAGUUCUUGUGUGCUGGAGACGUG